rnacentral:rRNA from 1 species
UACAGAGGUCUCAAGCGUUGUUCGGAUUCAUUGGGCGUAAAGGGCGCGCAGGCGGUUCGUUUAGUCCGAGGUGAAAUCUCCCGGCUCAACUGGGAGGGAUCUUUGGAUACUGGCGGACUUGAGGUGAGCAGAGGUGAGCGGAAUUCUGGGUGUAGUGGUGAAAUGCGUAGAUAUCCAGAGGAACACCAGUGGCGAAGGCGGCUCACUGGGCUCCACCUGACGCUGAGGCGCGAAAGCGUGGGGAGCGAACCGG